AUGGACCACACGCACACCGGCAUCAACACCACGCCCGCCGCAGUCACCGCCUCCGCCUCCAUGGACGCCGCGCUGCUGCUCGAGCCCAAGCUCGAGAUGAUGCAGCAGCAGCAGCCCUCGCCUGCGGGCCACUACGCCGCGCUGGACCACCACCUGAUCCCGCCGCCGCCCGCGCUGGUGGUGCCCUGCGAGCCGCCGCGGCCCCUGGAGGCGCUGCUGCAGGGGCCGCAGCUGCCGCCGUUCCUGUCCAAGACGUACGACCUCGUCAGCGAGCCGCAGCUGGACGGCGUCAUCUCCUGGGGCCCCGCCGGCAACAGCUUCGUUGUGUGGAACCCUUCCACCUUCGCCCGCGACGUGCUCCCGCACAACUUCAAGCACAACAACUUCUCCAGCUUCGUCAGGCAGCUCAACACUUAUGGUUUUCGCAAGGUUCAUGCUGAUAGAUGGGAGUUUGCUCACGAGGGAUUUCUGCGGGGCAGCAAACAUUUAUUGAAGACGAUUGUCAGGCGCCGGUCCUCGCCGACGCAACAAAGCAGCCUCCAGCCUGGUUCAUCUAUCUUCAGGAAGAUACAGUCAGGUUCUUCUGGUGAGUCCACUGUGGACCCUGAGCUGCGCUCCCUGAGAAGAGAGAAGAACGCGCUGCUACAGGAGGUGGCCAGGCUGAAGGAGGAGCACAAUCAGACGAUCGAGCAUAUGAACGCGCUGAACCAGAGGCUGGAGACCGCGGAGGACCGGCAGAAGCAGGUGGUCUCCUUCUUGGCCAAGCUCCUUCAGAACCCGGAUUUUCUGAGGCAGCUCAAGAUGCACAGGGAGAGGAGGGAUGGGAUCGAUUCCGCCAGAGUGAAGAGGAAGUUCCUGAAGCAUGUACCGCAUGGCAGCAGAGACUCGGGCGACUCCAGCUCGCCGCGCACCGCAGAGAGUACAUGUUCCCCUGCACAUCCAGUCGCGCACGACGCCAUUGCAGACCUACAGAGUUUUCUCCUGGAAGACACGGACCUUAGUGAUGGCAUGAUGCCGGGUAACUUUGGCCUGGACGGAGUCGAAGCAUCAGAGGACAUCGGGGCUUUGGUUCAGGUAUUUGACCAGCAAGAUCCCGGAACCGGGGCUGAGCUGCUUGGAAUUCCUCCAGUUUCUGGCGCUGCUCAUUGCCAAGACCUCACAGUUGGCAGGUCCAAGGGGAAGAAUGUCAUGUGUCCAGGAGGAACGGAUGGCACGUCGUCUCAAGCCGACUGCCUCGUGCCAUUACCGGGCAACGUGGGCAAACUGAUGGAUGCAGAUGGUGAGCAAAUUUGGGGCGCCGAUACCUUUUUUCAAAGUUCUUGCAGCGGCACCAGUCAACAAACCUAUGUUAGUGAUCCCUAUCUAAUAGCGAUUCCCGACAAGCAUGAGAAAUUCUGGGAAGUCGAUUUUGAGGCACUGGAUGAUGGAGAUCUGCACCUGGACAAGUGCGUUAUCGGUGACCCUGCUCUUGAGCAACACAGGGGAAACAUGAAGCCAUAG
rnacentral:rRNA from 1 species